UAUUGGGGAAAUAAUGGCAGUCAGCCUUGCACAAGGGGGUCCACCUCCUGCUUUUUUGAAAGAGUGGUGCUACAACUUCCUCUGCACAGGAGAGGUGGACUGUCAUUCGCUGUCUACGGAGGAUGUGGCCGAUCUAGAAUCCAGUCUACUCAUCAGCAGAGUUCUAAAUUCUGCUGAUGUCCAAUCUCUGAUGAUGUACAGUGAUGACAUCGUCAGCUGUGGAUACACAGGCCAGAUCAAACUGGAAAGCAAAGAAAGCAUAAUUCGAGCAAUUGUCCUACAUUCUACAACAAGAUUGAUUCCAAUGCUACAGCAAUUAAGAAAGGGCAUGGGACUGUAUGGCCUGGUGGAGCUGAUGGCUACAUAUCCCACAGCUUGUCACUCCUUGUUUGUUCCUGGGAAGAUCACCAAGCCUGAUGCUGAUUUCAUUAUGAUGAACUGCCAGCCACAUUUCAGUGAAAAGGGCACAUCAAAGGAGAGAAAUGAGAGAAAGAUGAUGAAUUUCCUCCAAGAUUUCUUGCAGGAAAUAGAAAUGCAGGAG